rnacentral:rRNA from 1 species
GGGAUUGCCUCAGUAACGGCGAGUGAAGCGGCAAUAGCUCAAAUUUGAAAUCUGGCCCUUUUCGGGUCCGAGUUGUAAUUUGUAGAGAGUGUUUCGGGUGAGACCACGGUCUAAGUCCAUUGGAACAUGGCGUCAUAGAGGGUGAGAAUCCCGUAUGUGACUGUGGAUCGAGCCCAGGUGAAGCCUCUUCGACGAGUCGAGUUGUUUGGGAAUGCAGCUCAAAAUGGGUGGUAAAUUUCAUCUAAAGCUAAAUACUGGCUGGAGACCGAUAGCGCACAAGUAGAGUGAUCGAAAGAUGAAAAGCACUUUGGAAAGAGAGUCAAACAGUACGUGAAAUUGUUGAAAGGGAAGCGCUUGCAACCAGACCUGUCCGUAGGUGAUCAGCCGCUGUUCUCAGUGGUGCACUCGCUCUGCGAUCAGGCCAGCAUCGGUUCGGGCGGCCGGAUAAAGGCCUUGGGAAUGUAGCUUCCUCCGGGGAGUCUUAUAGCCCUCGGUGCAAUGCGGCCAGCCUGGACCGAGGACCGCGCUUCGGCUAGGAUGCUGGCGUAAUGGUUGU